GGCAAUCCUCGGUUGCCCAGGAAACACAGAUGGUGGAUAAAGGGGUUGCAUACAAAAGACCAUAAACCUGUAGCAGCAGCUGGAGACCGAGAGCCGCUCAUUCUCUCAGGACUGCGCAGUCCCGCUCAUUCAAAGGAGCCUCUGUUCUCAUUAAUACCUUCGCUUCAUCAUCUUUGUCCAAAGCUUCCUGCUCCACUUUGUCCUGCGCCCCCACCCCAUCCCCGCCAACCGAACUGCCGUCUCCCCCGUCAGUGCGCAGCUGCUGCUGGCACUCCCACAUCUGCUUGUUUCAGCUCGGCGGCCAUGAAGAGGACGCCGAGCCUCGGCUCACGGUGAACGGCUGGAGACUCGGUCCGAGCAGCGACCUCCUUUAUGUGGUGAAGGCAGAUAAACUGCGCCAACACUGCGGGUAUGCGCAUGUUGAGCAGCUUUCUCCCGGGAUGGAGGGAUAAGCGGAAGAAAAGGAAGAAGCCAUGAUCUCUUCGCACCCUUUUAAUGCUGCGGGACAGGUGGAACCUGAAGAUCCAUGGGUUGACUGAGCAUCCCUCAUGUUUUACACUCUGACCAGCGUUGUACGGACUGGACUCGUCCCCAGAGCUGCUGACAUGGCACCAAACAGGACUCUGGGAGGAUCCAACGACAGGGCAGGUUAUGUGUUAUCUUUGUUAAAAUUGCUGGAGCAGAUUAAUCUUCACAGAUCAGUUUCUGGUCAUUUAGUUAUCAGUGUUAUGUUUUUGCUCGCGUAUAAUGAAACGCUCUGACGGGAAAGAACAGGAGCCAGAUCCCUUUGGGGAUCUUGAUAGGACAGUUGGGUUGCGUCCCACUUUUCUGCUGCUUUGUGUUGUGUGUCCCUUCUCCAGUUACACUGAUGAAAAAGCAGAUUUGGCCUCAACCAGAUCCCAUUGUGCCCCAGCUGGCGUUCCUCCAUCUCCUCUGCUGCGCUGCCUUACAGAGCGGUACUGAAUCUGCCACUUUCAUGUGCCGGAGACUUGUGCCGUGAUGCGUCUUCGAAGGAAAACCUUCAGCACUAGUGUGUCUCUCUACCAAGAGGCGACUUCUGCCUCUGUUCAUCAGCCAAGAGAAUUAAGCCAUUGCUUUGUUUAAUCAUGUGUGGCUGCUGGGAGGGACUUCAUUCAGAACCGUUUACUGCUCUGUUAAAGCUGUUUUAUAGCUUAAUUCAGUCCCUCUCCUGUUUCUAUUUCUGUUGAUUAGAUGCAUGGAAACCUUUACUGUAAAUCAACUCCACCUGAGUUACAUUUUCUUGCAAUUGAUCAUUUCUUCCCAAGCUUUCACCUGUUUAUGUAAUGUUACCUUUUGUGUCUUUUUGUGAAAACUGGCCUCCAGUGUUUCCAGAUCCAAAUCUAUGAGGGGUUUAUGUUCAAGGCCUGUAUGAACAAAAAUAUUACAUGCUAGUGUGUGAAAAUGACGGAUGUUCUCACCUUCUAAUAAUGUGUAAAUCACACAUUUCUGUUUGUUGAGAAACCUCCCGAGCGCAAUGCGAAACCAGCUAUUUUUACUGUACUAUUCUGCAGUUGAACUGUAGGGUGUGUGUGUGUGUGUGGGAUGAAUGCGUGAGGGGGUGUGUGGGAGAGUGCAUGUGUUUCUCUGCAUGCGCUCCAUCUGUGUUAGUGGCAGUACCUGUGCACGUGUGUCUCAUCAGUCCGAUAAGAUGUGUCUGUAAAGGGCCUGAAACUGCCGCUACUAUCCUUUAUAGCCACUGGAUGUACCAGAUAAGGGAUAAAACAUUAUUUACUGAUGAUUCUUAGCAUUUGUUACAUUUGUUCAUUAAAAAAUGAAAGAAAAUAAAACUGUGCUACUUGUGAUUUAGAUCACAAGGAUGUCAUUGGAAAUUAGUGUGGUGCAGUUUUCUCAAUGAUGCCUGCUGGCAAAAGUCAGACGGUUUCAGUGUCAGCAGCCCCAUCAUUUAACACUUAAGCAAAUUACAGCAAAUGCUAAUAAUGAUGUGUAAAUAGCCUUUUACCCACGUCUGGAUUGCACUAACAAUAUCUGACUAAUAUCUAACAGUACUAACGUCUGCUAACAGUUGAAGGAGUACUAACCCGUGUUGAGAAUGCAGACGGCUUGCAUUUCUAACCCACUAACUUCCCUUUUUGCUUUAUGCUCACUUCAAGAUGCACACUUCUCUUGCAUGAUCCUGCAAUCCUUCUGUUAGAGGUGUCCAACUCGGAGAUCCUAAAGCGAGCAUGGAAAGAAGGGUUUCAGGACCGGGGAAGGGCAACGUUGAAAACCGAACAGCUUGAAGAAAAGCCGCAGCAGCAGCAGCUGCUGAGGUCAAACUCGGUUGACCACAUACUGAAGCUGGAAAAGUGUAAUCUGAUCCCAAGUGAUUUCAUUUUAAAGGCUAAAUUUGCAUGUUUUUUUUUUUAUAAAGCAGUUUUCUCUCUCUCUGAUUGUAUUCUGUGUGGUCAACCCGGCCUUUUUGUCCCUGUAGGUAGUAACUAACUCCUAAUAGUGCUCAUACUAACAAUGCAGAGGCUGUAUCGGACCAUCUGCCACUCUUACUAACAUCUUCUUGUCAUCUGAUUGAUUUCACGUUGAUUAAAGCAUGCGUUGUGGUACCAGUGGUGCUGAUUAUAAGACAGUCAACUGGCUUUCCCUUCUCCCCCGAAAGCAUCAACUUUCCCAAGUGUGUUUUAAGAGCUGAGUUGAGGUUUUAUCUCUUAAAAAGCAACUUAAAUGUUACUAACCAGAGGAGCUUCCAAAAGCUCUGCAAACUAACAAACUAACCUACUAAUAAACUAAUUUUCUAACCUUAACUAACUGAAAUCACUAACUGUGUUUUUAAUGUGACAGUCACCAGAGCACCUUCAAACCGAGGAGCUGCAUCGCUUACUGAAUGUAUUUAAGUGUGUUUGAACGGAUGUUUGAGAAGAAAGAGUGCGUGCUGCAGUCAAAAUCACCAAUACUUUUUAUAUAAUUGUCAUUAAAAAUACUUUCUAAAGUUA